CCUGGCUCAGGACGAACGCUGGCGGCGUGCCUAAUACAUGCAAGUCGAGCGGACAGAAGGGAGCUUGCUCCCGGAUGUUAGCGGCGGACGGGUGAGUAACACGUGGGUAACCUGCCUGUAAGACUGGGAUAACUCCGGGAAACCGGAGCUAAUACCGGAUAGUUCCUUGAACCGCAUGGUUCAAGGAUGAAAGACGGUUUCGGCUGUCACUUACAGAUGGACCCGCGGCGCAUUAGCUAGUUGGUGGGGUAAUGGCUCACCAAGGCGACGAUGCGUAGCCGACCUGAGAGGGUGAUCGGCCACACUGGGACUGAGACACGGCCCAGACUCCUACGGGAGGCAGCAGUAGGGAAUCUUCCGCAAUGGACGAAAGUCUGACGGAGCAACGCCGCGUGAGUGAUGAAGGUUUUCGGAUCGUAAAGCUCUGUUGUUAGGGAAGAACAAGUGCGAGAGUAACUGCUCGCACCUGACGGUACCAACCAGAAAGCC
rnacentral:rRNA from 1 species